rnacentral:rRNA from 1 species
AGUGAACGCUGGCGGUAUGCCUAACACAUGCAAGUCGAACGGCAGCACAGUAAGAGCUUGCUCUUACGGGUGGCGAGUGGCGGACGGGUGAGGAAUACAUCGGAAUCUACUUUUUCGUGGGGGAUAACGUAGGGAAACUUACGCUAAUACCGCAUACGACCUACGGGUGAAAGCAGGGGAUCUUCGGACCUUGCGCGAUUGAAUGAGCCGAUGUCGGAUUAGCUAGUUGGCGGGGUAAAGGCCCACCAAGGCGACGAUCCGUAGCUGGUCUGAGAGGAUGAUCAGCCACACUGGAACUGAGACACGGUCCAGACUCCUACGGGAGGCAGCAGUGGGGAAUAUUGGACAAAGGGCGCAAGCCUGAUCCAGCAAUACCGCGUGGGUGAAGAAGGCCUUCGGGUUGUAAAGCCCUUUUGUUGGGAAAGAAAAGCAGCAGGUUAAUACCCCGCUGUUCUGACGGUACCCAAAGAAUAAGCACCGGCUAACUUCGUG